rnacentral:rRNA from 1 species
AACAACUCUCAGCAACGGAUAUCUUGGCUCUUGCAACGAUGAAGAACGCAGCGAAAUGCGAUACGUAGUGUGAAUUGCAGAAUUCCGCGAAUCAUCGAGUCUUUGAACGCAAGUUGCGCCCGAGGCUUGUCCGAGGGCAUUUCCGCUAGAGGGUCACCG